UAUUGCUCUUCAACGAGGAAUCCCUAGUAAGCGCAAGUCAUCAGCUUGCGUUGAUUACGUCCCUGCCCUUUGUACACACCGCCCGUCGCUACUACCGAUUGAAUGGCUCAGUGAGGCGUCCGGACUGGCCCAGGGAGGUGGGCAACUACCACCCAGGGCCGGAAAGCUCUCCAAACUCGGUCAUUUAGAGGAAGUAAAAGU
rnacentral:rRNA from 1 species